CGGAGGGUGCAAGCGUUAUCCGGAUUCACUGGGUUUAAAGGGUGCGUAGGCGGAAUGGAAAGUCCGUUGUGAAAUCUCUGAGCUUAACUCGGAAAUUGCGGUGGAUACUAUCAUUCUUGAAUACUGUGGAGGUUAGCGGAAUAUGUCAUGUAGCGGUGAAAUGCAUAGAUAUGACAUAGAACACCAAUUGCGAAGGCAGCUGGCUACACAGAUAUUGACGCUGAGGCACGAAAGCGUGGGGAUCAAACAGGAUUAGAUACCCUGGUAGUCCACGCCCUAAACGAUGAUUACUCGACAUUUGCGAUACACAGCAAGUGUCUGAGCGAAAGCAUUAAGUAAUCCACCUGGGAAGUACGACCGCAAGGUUG
rnacentral:rRNA from 1 species